AGAGUUUGAUCCUGGCUCAGAACGUACGCUGGCGGCACGCCUAACACAUGCAAGUCGAACGAAGUAGCAAUACUUAGUGGCAGACGGGUGAGUAACAUGUAGGUAUCUACCCUUUGGCCUGGAAUAACACGAGGAAACUUGUGCUAAUACCGGAUAAGUCUUUACGGAGAAAGCUUUAUGCACCAUUGGAUGAGCCUGCACUUGAUUAGUUUGUUGGUGGGGUAAUGGCCUACCAAGACUUUGAUCAAUAGCUGAUUUGAGAGGAUGAUCAGCCACAUUGGGACUGAGACACGGCCCAAACUCCUACGGGAGGCAGCAGUGGGGAAUCUUGCACAAUGGAGGAAACUCUGAUGCAGCGAUGCCGCGUGAGUGAAGAAGGCCCUUGGGUUGUAAAGCUCUUUCGUCGGGGAAGAAAAUGACUGUACCCGAAUAAGAAGGUCCGGCUAACUUCGUGCCAGCAGCCGCGGUAAUACGAAGGGACCUAGCGUAGUUCGGAAUUACUGGGCUUAAAGAGUUCGUAGGUGGUUGAAAAAGUUGGUGGUGAAAUCCCAGAGCUUAACUCUGGAACUGCCAUCAAAACUUUUCAGCUAGAGUUUGAUAGAGGAAAGCAGAAUUUCUAGUGUAGAGGUGAAAUUCGUAGAUAUUAGAAAGAAUACCAAUUGCGAAGGCAGCUUUCUGGAUCAUUACUGACACUGAGGAACGAAAGCAUGGGUAGCGAAGAGGAUUAGAUACCCUCGUAGUCCAUGCCGUAAACGAUGUGUGUUAGACGUUGGAAAUUUAUUUUCAGUGUCGCAGCGAAAGCGAUAAACACACCGCCUGGGGAGUACGACCGCAAGGUUAAAACUCAAAUGAAUUGACGGGGACCCGCACAAGUAGUGGAGCAUGUGGUUUAAUUCGAAGAUACGCGCAGAACCUUACCAACACUUGACAUGUUCGUCGCGACUUUAAGAGAUUAAAGUUUUCGGUUCGGCCGGACGAAACACAGGUGCUGCAUGGCUGUCGUCAGCUCGUGUCGUGAGAUGUUGGGUUAAGUCCCGCAACGAGCGCAACCCUCACUUUUAGUUGCCAUCAUUAAGUUGGGCACUCUGAAAGAACUGCCAGUGAUAAGCUGGAGGAAGGUGGGGAUGACGUCAAGUCCUCAUGGCCCUUACGUGUUGGGCUACACACGUGCUACAAUGGUAUUUACAAAAGGAAGCAAAACGGCGACGUUUAGCAAAUCCUAAAAAAAUACCUCAGUUCGGAUUGCACUCUGCAACUCGAGUGCAUGAAGCUGGAAUUACUAGUAAUCGUGGAUCAGCGUGCCACGGUGAAUGCGUUCCCGGGUCUUGUACACACCGCCCGUCACACCAUGGGAGUUGGUUCUACCUUAAGGCAAGGUUUAAUACCCUUGACCACGGUAUAGUCAGCGACUGGGGUGAAGUCAUAACAAGGUAACCGUA
rnacentral:rRNA from 1 species